GCGUUAGUAGCUCAGCUCGAGAGCGCCAGUCUUGUAAACUGGAGGUCGGAGGUUAAAAUCCCCCCUUCCGCU
rnacentral:tRNA from 1 species